rnacentral:rRNA from 1 species
UAAGCGACUAAGCGUACACGGUGGAUGCCCUGGCAGUCAGAGGCGAUGAAGGACGUGCUAAUCUGCGAUAAGCGUCGGUAAGGUGAUAUGAACCGUUAUAACCGGCGAUUUCCGAAUGGGGAAACCCAGUGUGAUUCGUCACACUAUCAUUAACUGAAUCCAUAGGUUAAUGAGGCGAACCGGGGGAACUGAAACAUCUAAGUACCCCGAGGAAAAGAAAUCAACCGAGAUUCCCCCAGUAGCGGCGAGCGAACGGGGAGCAGCCCAGAGCCUGAAUCAGUGUGUGUGUUAGUGGAAGCGUCUGGAAAGGCGCGCGAUACAGGGUGACAGCCCCGUACACAAAAAUGCACAUGCUGUGAGCUCGAUGAGUAGGGCGGGACACGUGGUAUCCUGUCUGAAUAUGGGGGGACCAUCCUCCAAGGCUAAAUACUCCUGACUGACCGAUAGUGAACCAGUACCGUGAGGGAAAGGCGAAAAGAACCCCGGCGAGGGGAGUGAAAAAGAACCUGAAACCGUGUACGUACAAGCAGUGGGAGCACGCUUAGGCGUGUGACUGCGUACCUUUUGUAUAAUGGGUCAGCGACUUAUAUUCUGUAGCAAGGUUAACCGAAUAGGGGAGCCGAAGGGAAACCGAGUCUUAACUGGGCGUUAAGUUGCAGGGUAUAGACCCGAAACCCGGUGAUCUAGCCAUGGGCAGGUUGAAGGUUGGGUAACACUAACUGGAGGACCGAACCGACUAAUGUUGAAAAAUUAGCGGAUGACUUGUGGCUGGGGGUGAAAGGCCAAUCAAACCGGGAGAUAGCUGGUUCUCCCCGAAAGCUAUUUAGGUAGCGCCUCGUGAACUCAUCUCCGGGGGUAGAGCACUGUUUCGGCAAGGGGGUCAUCCCGACUUACCAACCCGAUGCAAACUGCGAAUACCGGAGAAUGUUAUCACGGGAGACACACGGCGGGUGCUAACGUCCGUCGUGAAGAGGGAAACAACCCAGACCGCCAGCUAAGGUCCCAAAGUCAUGGUUAAGUGGGAAACGAUGUGGGAAGGCCCAGACAGCCAGGAUGUUGGCUUAGAAGCAGCCAUCAUUUAAAGAAAGCGUAAUAGCUCACUGGUCGAGUCGGCCUGCGCGGAAGAUGUAACGGGGCUAAACCAUGCACCGAAGCUGCGGCAGCGACGCUUAUGCGUUGUUGGGUAGGGGAGCGUUCUGUAAGCCUGUGAAGGUGUACUGUGAGGUAUGCUGGAGGUAUCAGAAGUGCGAAUGCUGACAUAAGUAACGAUAAAGCGGGUGAAAAGCCCGCUCGCCGGAAGACCAAGGGUUCCUGUCCAACGUUAAUCGGGGCAGGGUGAGUCGACCCCUAAGGCGAGGCCGAAAGGCGUAGUCGAUGGGAAACAGGUUAAUAUUCCUGUACUUGGUGUUACUGCGAAGGGGGGACGGAGAAGGCUAUGUUGGCCGGGCGACGGUUGUCCCGGUUUAAGCGUGUAGGCUGGUUUUCCAGGCAAAUCCGGAAAAUCAAGGCUGAGGCGUGAUGACGAGGCACUACGGUGCUGAAGCAACAAAUGCCCUGCUUCCAGGAAAAGCCUCUAAGCAUCAGGUAACAUCAAAUCGUACCCCAAACCGACACAGGUGGUCAGGUAGAGAAUACCAAGGCGCUUGAGAGAACUCGGGUGAAGGAACUAGGCAAAAUGGUGCCGUAACUUCGGGAGAAGGCACGCUGAUAUGUAGGUGAAGCGACUUGCUCGUGGAGCUGAAAUCAGUCGAAGAUACCAGCUGGCUGCAACUGUUUAUUAAAAACACAGCACUGUGCAAACACGAAAGUGGACGUAUACGGUGUGACGCCUGCCCGGUGCCGGAAGGUUAAUUGAUGGGGUCAGCGCAAGCGAAGCUCUUGAUCGAAGCCCCGGUAAACGGCGGCCGUAACUAUAACGGUCCUAAGGUAGCGAAAUUCCUUGUCGGGUAAGUUCCGACCUGCACGAAUGGCGUAAUGAUGGCCAGGCUGUCUCCACCCGAGACUCAGUGAAAUUGAACUCGCUGUGAAGAUGCAGUGUACCCGCGGCAAGACGGAAAGACCCCGUGAACCUUUACUAUAGCUUGACACUGAACAUUGAGCCUUGAUGUGUAGGAUAGGUGGGAGGCUUUGAAGUGUGGACGCCAGUCUGCAUGGAGCCGACCUUGAAAUACCACCCUUUAAUGUUUGAUGUUCUAACGUUGACCCGUAAUCCGGGUUGCGGACAGUGUCUGGUGGGUAGUUUGACUGGGGCGGUCUCCUCCUAAAGAGUAACGGAGGAGCACGAAGGUUGGCUAAUCCUGGUCGGACAUCAGGAGGUUAGUGCAAUGGCAUAAGCCAGCUUGACUGCGAGCGUGACGGCGCGAGCAGGUGCGAAAGCAGGUCAUAGUGAUCCGGUGGUUCUGAAUGGAAGGGCCAUCGCUCAACGGAUAAAAGGUACUCCGGGGAUAACAGGCUGAUACCGCCCAAGAGUUCAUAUCGACGGCGGUGUUUGGCACCUCGAUGUCGGCUCAUCACAUCCUGGGGCUGAAGUAGGUCCCAAGGGUAUGGCUGUUCGCCAUUUAAAGUGGUACGCGAGCUGGGUUUAGAACGUCGUGAGACAGUUCGGUCCCUAUCUGCCGUGGGCGCUGGAGAACUGAGGGGGGCUGCUCCUAGUACGAGAGGACCGGAGUGGACGCAUCACUGGUGUUCGGGUUGUCAUGCCAAUGGCACUGCCCGGUAGCUAAAUGCGGAAGAGAUAAGUGCUGAAAGCAUCUAAGCACGAAACUUGCCCCGAGAUGAGUUCUCCCUGACCCUUUAAGGGUCCUGAAGGAACGUUGAAGACGACGACGUUGAUAGGCCGGGUGUGUAAGCGCAGCGAUGCGUUGAGCUAACCGGUACUAAUGAACCGUGAGGCUUAACCU